UGUCGAUCGUGUGCAUUCUGCUUGUAUUGGUCGUAUGUGUUUCGAUUCUACCCGUGAAAGCGCAAGAGGAAACCGCAGCCGUAUUUACCCGAGCUGCUUAUACAGAUCCUGCGUGGGCCUGGAGUGCACCCGCAUGGCGUGGAUGCAGGAAGAACGAGGUAUACAAGGAGUGCCAGAGUGGAAGUUGCGGCGAGUGGAAAUGCUGGUACCUGUUUAGAGGCUGGCCCACUGGCUGCACAUUGGACUGCCAAACCGGGUGUUUCUGUAGGGAAGGCUACUUCCGAAAUAAGAGGAACCAAUGUGUACUAGGGUGGAAAUGCUUCAGAGAAUUCAACUUUUAUCAAAAUGAACUCGCUGAAUAGAAUUCAAGACGCCAUACGAAGACCUGUCGUCCAAAGCUAUCAACUUGAGGAAACAGGAAGCAAGCGAUAUUUUCAGGCGAUGGCCGAACGGGGCAAGAGGAAAAAAAACUCCGCAAAUAAGCAAUAUUAUGUUGUGCACUGAAGAACCAUUUAUCUCAAAUAAUGCAUCUACAAUUUUUUUUUCUGAAUAAAGGUAAUUUGGAUUUGGGGCAA